UGUGUGGGCCCGGAUGUGUGGGUCAGGAUAUGUGGGUCAGUGGGGCCGUGUGGGUCAGUCUGUGUGGGUCAGGAUGUGUGGGUCAGUGUGGCUGUGUGGGUCAGGCUGUGUGGGUCAGGCCAUGUGGGUCAGGAUGUGUGGGUCAGUGGGGCUGUGUGGGUCAGGAUAUGUGGGUCAGUGUGGCUGUGUGGGUCAGGCCGUGUGGGUCAGUCUGUGGGUCUGGAUGCGUGGGUCAGGAUAUGUGGGUCAGUCGGGAUAUGUGGGUCAGGCCGUGUGGGUCAGUGUGUGGGUCAGUGGGGCUGUGUGGGUCAGGCCGUGUGGGUCAGUGUGUGGGUCAGUGGGGCCGUGUGGGUCAGUGUGUGGGUCAGGACGUGUGGGUCAGUGGGGACGUGUGGGUCAGGAUGUGUGGGUCCGGAUGUGUGGGUCAGGAUGUGUGGGUCAGUGGGGCUGUGUGGGUCCGGAUGUGUGGGUCCGGAUGUGUGGGUC
rnacentral:lncRNA from 1 species